GACGAACGCUGGCGGCGUGCUUAACACAUGCAAGUCGAACGGAAAGGCCCCUUUGGGGGUACUCGAGUGGCGAACGGGUGAGUAACACGUGAGUAACCUGCCCUUGACUUCGGGAUAACUUCAGGAAACUGGGGCUAAUACCGGAUAGGAAUCCUUGCUGCAUGGUGGGGGUUGGAAAGCUUCGGCGGUUUUGGAUGGACUCGCGGCUUAUCAGCUUGUUGGUGGGGUAGUGGCUUACCAAGGCUUUGACGGGUAGCCGGCCUGAGAGGGCGACCGGCCACAUUGGGACUGAGAUAAGGCCCAGACGCCUACGGGAGGCAGCAGUGGGGAAGAUUGAACAAUGGGCGGAAGCCGGAUGCAGCAACGCCGCGGGCGGGAUGACGGCCUUCGGGUUGUAAAACGCUUUCAGCAGGGGAGAAGCUUGUGGUGACGGUACCUGCAGAAGAAGCACCGGCUAACUACGUG
rnacentral:rRNA from 1 species